CCUGGGUUCGGUGACUCUAAGUGAUGGC
rnacentral:sRNA from 1 species